rnacentral:rRNA from 1 species
GACGAACGCUGGCGGCGUGCCUAAUACAUGCAAGUAGAACGCUGAAGAGAGGAGCUUGCUCUUCUUGGAUGAGUUGCGAACGGGUGAGUAACGCGUAGGUAACCUGCCUUGUAGCGGGGGAUAACUAUUGGAAACGAUAGCUAAUACCGCAUAACAAUGGAUGACACAUGUCAUUUAUUUGAAAGGGGCAAUUGCUCCACUACAAGAUGGACCUGCGUUGUAUUAGCUAGUAGGUGAGGUAAUGGCUCACCUAGGCGACGAUACACAGCCGACCUGAGAGGGUGAUCGGCCACACUGGGACUGAGACACGGCCCAGACUCCUACGGGAGGCAGCAGUAGGGAAUCUUCGGCAAUGGGGGCAACCCUGACCGAGCAACGCCGCGUGAGUGAAGAAGGUUUUCGGAUCGUAAAGCUCUGUUGUAAGUCAAGAACGGGUGUGAGAGUGGAAAGUUCACACUGUGACGGUAGCUUACCAGAAAGGGACGGCUAACUACGUG